CGCUGUACUGGGCGACGGUGCCGUCGCCGUUGACGACGGCGGGCGCGGCCGUGCCGACGCCGUCGACGGCGGC
rnacentral:tRNA from 1 species